UGAUGACAAAAGGCAAAUUGUUCUUUAUGAUUCUGAAAACCGUCAGUUAUGUGUUAAAAGAAAUGAUAAGACUAAUUUAGAAUUAAUAAAGGCUCAUCACGAUAAAAAACAUCAAGUAAAAAGUUUUCAAGGCUGCAAACAUUGUCCUCUGUGUGGUUCCCUACUGAUUGAAGAAAAGCUAAAGCCCCUUGAAAUGAGCACGUCUAGUAUAUUAAACGAAUUUUCUAGUAAUGAAAC